rnacentral:rRNA from 1 species
UACGGAGGAUCCAAGCGUUAUCCGGAUUUAUUGGGUUUAAAGGGUGCGUAGGUGGGCAGGUAAGUCAGUGGUGAAAUCUCCGGGCUUAACUCGGAACGGUCAAGUGAUACUGUCGGACUAGAGUACAGAAGGGGCAACUGGAAUUCUCGGUGUAGCGGUGAAAUGCGUAGAUAUCGAGAGGAACACCUGCGGCGAAGGCGGGUUGCUGGGCUGAUACUGACGCUGAGGCGCGAAAGCCAGGGGAGCGAACGGG